rnacentral:rRNA from 1 species
AGUGAACGCUGGCGGUAGGCCUAACACAUGCAAGUCGAACGGCAGCACAGUAAGAGCUUGCUCUUACGGGUGGCGAGUGGCGGACGGGUGAGGAAUACAUCGGAAUCUACUUUUUCGUGGGGGAUAACGUAGGGAAACUUACGCUAAUACCGCAUACGACCUACGGGUGAAAGCAGGGGAUCUUCGGACCUUGCGCGAUUGAAUGAGCCGAUGUCGGAUUAGCUAGUUGGCGGGGUAAAGGCCCACCAAGGCGACGAUCCGUAGCUGGUCUGAGAGGAUGGUCGGCCAACCUGAACCUAGACCACGGUCAGGAUCCCAAGGGAAGGAGGCGUUGGGAAUAAUUGGAAAUGGGCGGAAGGCUGAAUCCAGCCAUCCGGGGUGGGGAAGAAGGGCUUUGGGGUGGAAAACCCUUUUUGUUGGGAAGAAAAAGCGGCAGGUUAAUACCCCGCGUUUCUAAGGUACCCAAAAAAAAAGGCACGGCUAAAUUCGUG